rnacentral:siRNA from 1 species
AAGAGCCAGGCCUCGAUGAGUA